rnacentral:ncRNA from 1 species
CCUAGCUAACUGCACAACAAGGAUGUGUGGGGCAGACUAGGCUACACGUCCUUUCACUAGGGCAAGAAAUUGCUAUAAACAACAACUACAACAGAAAUGAAGUAGCGGUGAUUAGAAUACAGUGAAAGGGCUACUCUUG